rnacentral:rRNA from 1 species
UACGUAGGUGGCGAGCGUUGUCCGGAAUUACUGGGUGUAAAGGGCGUGUAGGCGGGGCAUUAAGUCAGAUGUGAAAUUCCAUGGCUCAACUGUGGGCGUGCAUCUGAAACUGAUGUUCUUGAGUGCAGGAGAGGAAAGCGGAAUUCCUAGUGUAGCAGUGAAAUGCGUAGAUAUUAGGAGGAACACCGGUGGCGAAGGCGGCUUUCUGGACUGUAACUGACGCUGAGGCGCGAAAGCGUGGGGAGCAAACAGG